rnacentral:rRNA from 1 species
GAGCGGCGGACGGGUGAGUAAUGCCUAGGAAUCUGCCUGGUAGUGGGGGAUAACGCUCGGAAACGGACGCUAAUACCGCAUACGUCCUACGGGAGAAAGCAGGGGACCUUCGGGCCUUGCGCUAUCAGAUGAGCCUAGGUCGGAUUAGCUAGUUGGUGAGGUAAUGGCUCACCAAGGCGACGAUCCGUAACUGGUCUGAGAGGAUGAUCAGUCACACUGGAACUGAGACACGGUCCAGACUCCUACGGGAGGCAGCAGUGGGGAAUAUUGGACAAUGGGCGAAAGCCUGAUCCAGCCAUGCCGCGUGUGUGAAGAAGGUCUUCGGAUUGUAAAGCACUUUAAGUUGGGAGGAAGGGCAGUUACCUAAUACGUAUCUGUUUUGACGUUACCGACAGAAUAAGCACCGGCUAACUCUGUGCCAGCAGCCGCGGUAAUACAGAGGGUGCAAGCGUUAAUCGGAAUUACUGGGCGUAAAGCGCGCGUAGGUGGUUCGUUAAGUUGGAUGUGAAAUCCCCGGGCUCAACCUGGGAACUGCAUCCAAAACUGGCGAGCUAGAGUAUGGUAGAGGGUGGUGGAAUUUCCUGUGUAGCGGUGAAAUGCGUAGAUAUAGGAAGGAACACCAGUGGCGAAGGCGACCACCUGGACUGAUACUGACACUGAGGUGCG